AUGAGAUGCCUCAGCUAGAACUGCCGUGGGCUUGGGAACCCAGCGGUAGUUCGAGAGCUUCGCAGUGUUGUGAAGCAGGAAGGGCCCGGUCUCCUCUUCUUGAUGGAGACGAAAAUACCAGCAAAAAGAGUAGAGAAUCUGCAAGCUACCCUAGGCUUCGCAGGAUGUUUUGCCGUGGGAAGUGCUGGCUUAAGUGGAGGUAUUGGUUUGUUCUGGUCAACCGAUCUUAUUGUUGACCUUAAGAGCUAUAGUUCUGGCCAUAUCGACGUUAUGGUGCAGAAAAGCGAUUUGAGCGAAGACCCCUUUCGGUUCACGGGUUUUUACGGUGCCCCUAGAGUGUCUGACCGUCACCACAGUUGGAGGUCUCUUCGCACACUAAAUGCAAUUCCACACUCGGCCUGGCUGUGUGUUGGACAUUUCAACGAGACAUUGUAUGCCUCGAAACACUUCUCACGUGCUGCUAGGCCUGAAUGGCAGAUGUGA
rnacentral:rRNA from 1 species